rnacentral:rRNA from 1 species
UACGUAGGGGGCAAGCGUUGUCCGGAAUCAUUGGGCGUAAAGAGCGUGUAGGCGGCUUGGUAAGUCCGCUGUGAAAGUUCAGGGCUCAACCCUGAAAUGCCGGUGGAAACUGUCGGGCUAGAGUCCGGAAGAGGCGAGUGGAAUUCCUGGUGUAGCGGUGAAAUGCGCAGAUAUCAGGAGGAACACCAAUGGCGAAGGCAGCUCGCUGGGACGGUACUGACGCUGAGACGCGAAAGCGUGGGGAGCAAACAGG